CGAGUAAGUGAUAUAUAUGUCAACGUAGAUAAUGCAUGCUUGCCUCUACAGUCAACAUACAUACAUGAUUUAGAAUAUAAAAUAUUUUUGUGGUGAUUAUAUGGUCGUUAUCAUCGAUAGUUAAUACCUUGAAGAUACGUAUCAAUCUUUUCCACUGUCUAUCUAUUUGUUUGACAUUUUAAUUCUUAACUUUUUUUUUUUUUUUGUAACUUAAAAGGGUUAAACCCGGGUCUAUUAAAGAUACAGACCUAACCCCUGGGUGGAGGUACAGCCCACGGAUAAACCCUCUCCUGGGCAUUCAAAUGAACCAAAAGCAAUAGCCCAUAUCCGUGUGGCCAGCGGAGUUUGAACCAGGGUUCGCCGUAUUGGGUUUAAUCCCUCAAGCGUAUUGGGUUUUAAUUCUU
rnacentral:lncRNA from 1 species